GGGGAUUUAGCUUGGUGGCAUAAGCACCUGCCUUGCAAGCAGGCAGUUGUGAGUUCAAUCCCCA
rnacentral:tRNA from 1 species